rnacentral:rRNA from 1 species
GCAUAACUAGUAUUGGAGGCACUGCCUGCCCAGUGACAAUCGUUAAACGGCCGCGGUAUCCUGACCGUGCAAAGGUAGCAUAAUCAUUUGUUCUCUAAAUAAGGACUUGUAUGAAUGGCCAAACGAGGGUUUUACUGUCUCUUACUUCCAAUCAGUGAAAUUGACCUUCCCGUGAAGAGGCGGGAAUAUAUCAACAAGACGAGAAGACCCUAUGGAGCUUUAACUACUUAGCCCAAAGAAAUAAAUUUAACAACUAAGGAAACAACAAUACUCUUUAUGGGCUAACAGCUUUGGUUGGGGUGACCUCGGAGAACAGAAAAUCCUCCGAGCGAUUUUAAAGACUAGACCUACAAGUCAAAUCACACAAUCGCUUAUUGAUCCAAAAAAUUGAUCAACGGAACAAGUUACCCUAGGGAUAACAGCGCAAUCCUAUUCAAGAGUCCAUAUCGACAAUAGGGUUUACGACCUCGAUGUUGGAUCAGGACAUCCCGAUGGUGCAACCGCUAUCAAAGGUUCGUUUGUUCAACGAUUAAAGUCCUACGUGAUCUGAGUUC